rnacentral:rRNA from 1 species
AAUUUUGGACAAUGGGGGAAACCCUGAACUAGCCAUCCCGCGUGUAUGAUGAAGGCCUGCGGGAUGUAAAGUACUUUUGGCAGAGAAGACAAGGCAUCCCCUAAUACGUGAUGCUGCUGACGGUAUCUGCAGACUAAGCACCGGCUAACUACGUGCUCGCAGCCGCGGUACUACGUAGGGUGCAAGCGUUAAUCGGAAUCACUGGGCGUAACGCGUGUGUAGGCAGUUCGGAAAGAAAGAUGUGAAAUCCCAGGGCUCAACCUUGGAACUGCAUUAUUAACGACCGAGCUAGAGUAUGUCAGAGGGGGGUAGAAUUCCACGUGUAGCAGUGAAAUGCGUAGAUAUGUGGAGGAAUACCGAUGGCGAAGGCAGCCCCCUGGGAUAAUACUGACGCUCAGACACGAAAGCGUGGGGAGCAAACAGG